GGAAUCAGAUUUGUUAUCCAGAAACCAACCACAAAGUAUAGCCAAUGCAAUAAAAGCACUUUUGGUGAAUCAGUCCUAUUGGAGGAGGGAAACUCACCUGGAAUUUUGUUUUAUGAAAUGAAUCUGAAGCAACCUUCUCCACCCUGCUCCAUUCUUAUAGAAAGUGUCUAGAAAGUAGGAUUGCCCAAGUCACCAAGGGGAGAGACAACUGUCUCAAAAUUUAGUUGUUCAAUAAAGAUCAGUGAGGCUAGGGAGCAAGGUUUGGGCCACCAAACUACAUCCUCUGUAACCCACCUUCAGCUUGGAUGAUUAUAUCCUUUCAGUCUCCCAGACCAUGGGCAGCUGAGGUUGGUCCAGAUUCACUUGACCCUGGCGAGUCAUCAAUAGUCAUAAAGUGACUCAGGAUUGCCUGAGAUAAGCCAUAUUGGGCAACUGCAUGAUGGGUCUUCUGAUGGGGCAUGGAGCUGGACUUCUCAUCCCUCCAGGCUUUAUGCCUGAAGAAAAAAGGAAGACUAAAUAAAUUGAUUGGUUUAAAUUAAGGAGGUUAAACUAAGAGCUGAAAGAACUGUUUCCUGAGAAAACCCAGGUAUUCACCCUCAGCCUCCCAGAAUCCCCAGGCCUUGAUGACACAGGGGCACUCCUCAUGAAAACUGCCUCUCAAUUUGUUUUUGGCCUGCUGCCUAAUGGGAAUAAGUCCGCAAUGAGUUUUUUGUUUCACCUUGAAAGGAAAUCAACCCUGCCUCUCUGCCUGGGCCCCACAGCAUCUAGUGCCUGCCCCACUCCCCGGCACAGUCCAGUCUUUUCCUCAAACAUUAACCCAGAUCUGCUGCAUGUGCAGCCCCAAGGGCCAAAGUUCUCCUUAUCUUUAAGAGCUUUUGCAAUAAAAUCUCAUUGUUUUUGUAUGGCUUUUUAAUUCUUUGAUCCUUAUUAUUCCAGAGCUUUGUUUGGGAUUGUUAAGAUUGUUGUGAAGGUUUGUUUGUACUUGGCCUCCUGAAUCAACCAAGGCCCCAGAAGUCCCAAAGAUGCUGCAGCAGCUCCGCCAUGACCAGAAAGUGUCCUAGGGACCUUUCAGGAGGGUUCUUCCUUUGGAGUGUUUUGCAUUUGUUUUCCUUCCAAUUAUUUCUUCUUUUCUGCUUGAAAGCUUUUGAAGAUAGGGCUCAAAUUUGACCUUUUUUCUUUUUAAAGUUGUAUGUCCAUUUUUACUAUGUCAUGCUCAUUUUAUAUUUCUUAUAUAUAUAUAAAAUAUAUGAUAUAUAUUAUUAUAUAUAUGUACAUAUAUAUAUAUACAGACACACACACCUCUAUAUGCAUCAUGUCAGUGUAUAUAUCCAUCUAGUAGCAUCAAAAGCCUUGAUAUUGUGCCAUUAUUAUUUCUUUUUUCAACUACCAAUCUCUGAAUGCCUUCAAGUGUAUAAAGUGUUGAAUUAUCUCUGGUAUCUGUACUAUGUACACAUUUUCAUAGGAAGCACAAGAAGAUGACAAAAUGCAUUGUAUAUCAAAACUUGCUCCUCUUAACAAUGAUAUAAAUGAUAUCAACCAUGGAGA